AACCGAUAUAUCGGAACUCUGGAGGUUGGAGGUUUUGAAAUCCAGACCGAAGGCCAAGCCGGACAAGAAGCAGACGUCCUGAUCUUAGGACGAGAUUUCCUUGACAAAUAUAAACCAUGGUCAUGGAAAUCAGGAGGAAUGGAGAUUACCAUUGGACGCCAAAGAGUGAUGAUCCAAUGACAAGUCCAUUCUCGAUAUACAUCUCGGUAGGGAUGUUAUACGAGAAAUACAAAGCAGAAUAUUUUGCUGCUUAUGUGGAUUCAGGAGCAGGAAUCUGUACAGCAAAACGAGGAGUCUUUCCAACAGAAGUGGAAGAAGAUCUACCUCGAAUUGCAGGAAGGGAUUUCUCCAAGAAGAUUUUACUCCUAUCAAAGGGAGUAAAACA
rnacentral:lncRNA from 1 species